UACGGAGGGGGCGAGCGUUAUUCGGAAUUAUUGGGCGUAAAGCGCGCGUAGGUGGUCUGGUAAGUCGGGUGUGAAAGCCCUCGGCUUAACCGAGGAAGUGCAUUCGAAACUGCCAGACUUGAGUACUGAAGAGGAUCGCGGAAUUCCCGGUGUAGAGGUGAAAUUCGUAGAUAUCGGGAGGAACACCAGUGGCGAAGGCGGCGAUCUGGGCAGAUACUGACACUGAGGCGCGAAAGCGUGGGGAGCAAACAGG
rnacentral:rRNA from 1 species